AGCCUAUUUUGCGAUGGCGGAGCUCGACCGCCGGUCGCGGACAUGAUCGCCUUCAUCGACGAUCACCGGGAGGCCUACGGGGUCGAGCCGAUCUGCCGCGUGCUGCCGAUCGCCCCG
rfam:Methylobacterium radiotolerans JCM 2831 plasmid pMRAD04, complete sequence.